GCGGAUGUAGUUCAAUGGUAGAACAUCAGCUUCCCAAGCUGAGAACGCGGGUUCGAUUCCCGUCAUCCGCUCUA
rnacentral:tRNA from 1 species